rnacentral:sRNA from 4 species
CUUCGACUAAGGUUCGAUUCGAGCGCAGCGAGAAAGCGUUGCCGCAGGCAACGACCCGAAGGGCGAAGCGCGCAGCGCUGAGUCAUCCUUCCCCCACCACCA